rnacentral:lncRNA from 1 species
GCUUAGGAAAUAAAUUUAUGUUUUUCUUAAUUUUUUGGAAAAUAAAUAAAAAAAAGGGUUUUUGGGCCGGCCGCGUAGGCCGACCCACGCCGUCCGGCGAACGGGGCAGCUGCCACGGUCGCUGCCAUGCCGGCGACGGCGGCAGAUCGAGGGCGGGGGGAAGCAUCUAGCUUCCCUGCGGCGGCGGCGGCGGCGGCAGCGGCGGGAUCCACCGCCGCACGCCGUGUCUCCAUG